ensembl:lncRNA
GAAUGAUGUUUUUAAAUUUAUUGUGUGUAAUCAUUUGCUUUAGGAUCUACAGGAGCAACUAAUAUCCAUCAAAAAGCUUCUGAGCACAUGCAGACUAUCAACUGGAGUACUCGGUGAGUCUGACCAGCUUCCUGCUCAUCUGAUGCUGGAACUACACCUCUUCUCAAUGGAUGACCUCAUCAGGGUAAAAAAGGCUGUGUCAGGCCAAAGGCUUUAUCUGUGAGUUCUGUCACAGGGAGGAAGUGCUUUUCCCUUUUCAGAGAGACAUCUGCACCUGCUGCCAAGAUUUUUUUAGACUGCAGAGCCUGUUUCCACAUCUACUUCUGUGAUGAAUCAUGUCCCAAAUGUGCCAGACUGGAGAAACGAAAGAAACUCCAGCAAGACAUCAAUUUAUGAAAUCUCCUACAUGUCCUUCACUGCAUUUUAAAGUGGCGUAAAGAGGUCUUGAACUGUUCUUAGUUUACUGACAUGCUUUAUGUGCUGUAAUUUUGUAAAGCAUAGAUGAAUGUAGUUUUGAUAUUGUUCGAUGUUGUACAUUGUAUUUCCAUUAAGUAACAAGCAUUACAAUGUGUGAACACAGAGACCUGCCAAACUCUAUUAUGUUCGUAUUUUGAACACAUGAUUAAUUCAUGAUAGUUUAGUCACAUUUCAUUCUGCAAUUGGUUGCAAAAUAUGGGGAUUGUUCUUGUGGACGUUUAGAAAAUAGUCUUUCCCUUAUUGAUUGAAAGUCAUGAACAUUCUCCACCACAGGAUCUUUUUAAUAGCAUUCUCUGGUCGAACUGACGUUUUAUAUUAUUUAAUAUUACAUAAAUGAAUUUGUUUUAUUUAAUAUUGUAUUUAUUGUUAUUUAAUAAUUAUAUUUGUUUUAGGAUUCAAAACUUGUUUAAGAUUUAAAGUUUGAGUCAAGGGUAAAACAAUAAAAUACGGGCAUUUAAAUAAUAAUAAUAAAAA